rnacentral:lncRNA from 1 species
AAUGUUUUUACCCAAAAGGUUGCAUCUGUAAACUAAGGCUUUAUUUAAUUCAUACUUAUCUUAAAUUAGUUAAUUAUUAAUCCUAAUUACCUUAAUUAAUUCUUAAUUAACUACUAAUGACAGUAAUUAAGCAUUAAGGCUAAAUAAUAAUUAAAUGCCAAAGGUUAUUGGGGUUAAUGACCUCAGGUCAUCACACAAUCCUAAAAUCACUCAACCCUAAUUAUGAGGAUCUAAAUAAUCACUAUUUAAUUAUUUUGGAAUUAUUAUUUAAGUGCUAAAUAAGGGUUUAUUAGUAUUUUAAGCAAACAUUAUCCAAAUGCCACCAAAUUUUGUGUGGAGCCAGGGAAUAAUAGUCAGAGGCUCCCCACAAUUUUUGGUGAUUUUUGGACAUACAAAUAAAUUAUUAAAAUUCCUAGAAAUUUUAUUUACUAAUUAAAGAGCCAAUUUUUAUGGACAGGCAAACCAUCAGAGAAACAAAUUCCAAUAUUUUUCCUAUGCUCUAAAUAUUCUCUGGAACUUACACAAAAAGUUUCACUAUUUUUGGAUCACUAAACAAUUUCCUACAUAAUUUCAAACAUCAAACAAAACUUGCAUAAAAAGGAGAAAAGAAAAAAAAAGAAAACAAAACUGCGCAGUGGGCGGCCUGGAAAUUGGCCCGCAGGCCGGCCCACGCGCGCUCGGCCCACAACCGCGCUGCGCGCGCUGCCCCCCUCUCUCUCAGCGGUCACUGAC